rnacentral:lncRNA from 1 species
UGAACAUCAACAAAAUGGAUAACUCUUCAGCGGUAUCUCUCUGUUGUGAAAUCUAUGGAAAUUCCUUUUGCUUUGGAGAUAAGUUUUAAACUGUCACAGAUACAUAGAAAAAAACAACAAACAGAAAAUUUGCUUCUGGAGGCCACUCAUAUUAUAAAACCAAAAUGAUGAAUAGUGAAUGGCCAGAAUAAUGAAACGAUGAACAGCCCACUGUGAAUAGCAAAGAUGCCACAGGUGGAAAAAGUAAGGCAGGGGGAGGGGAAAAAUCAGUCCAUGGUUGUAAGGCAAACCAGUGAAGAUCAAGUAAAGAAUUCACAGCCCAGAUUUAAUCUAAUGGAGGAUACUCCCUUUACCAGUGCACCAGAUGGCACCCACCGCUGCACAGCAUAG